GCUCCCGUAGCUCAGUGGAUAGAGCAUUCGCCUUCUAAGCGAGAGGUCGCAAGUUCGAGCCUUGCCGGGAGUACCA
rnacentral:tRNA from 1 species